GUACAGGCCAACUUGUUCAGAGGCGCGAGGUUUUGGAGGUCACAGCUUCCCUCGCCGGGUGUUGCCUCCCCCAGAACAGGCUGUAGCCCAUGCCGGUCUGAAGGGGUUUGUGUGUAAGGCGUCACGCUGCCUUGCCGCCCGUCUCGCCCCUUGGUGGGAAGCGUCCGACGUACUUGGCAGGUCCAGACGCCGCGUUACUAUUUGGUGGUAAAAAGUCCCAGAAGUGGGAUGAAAUGAACAUCCUAGCUACGUACCACCCAGCAGGGAAAGAUUAUGGCUUAAUGAAAAUAGAUGAGCCAAGCACUCCUUAUCACAGUAUGGUGGGAGAGGAUGAUGAAGAUGCAGUGAGUGAUUCAGAAUCAAAUGAACCCUUAACAGCAGAUUUGCUGGCCGAGAAGUUGGCAGCUGCAGCUGAAGGUAAGGGCCCAAAGAUUCUAGCUAAGCAAGAAGAAAGCAGUGAGGAGGAGGAGGAAGAGGAGGAGGAGGAAGAUUUAACACCUGAAGAACGAGAAAAAAGAAAGCAGUUUGAAAUGAAGAGAAAAAUGCAUUAUAACGAAGGACGAAAUAUCAAACUGGCCAGGCAGCUAAUUGCAAAAGAACUACACGGUGAAGAAGAGGAUGAAGAUGAUGAAGAUCAGGAUGAGGAGAUGCAUGAUGCUGCUGAUGUAGAAAACAUGAGUACAGAAACACCUGAACCCGGGGAAAGAAGGGCUCCAGUAGGCAUCUUUAUGACCUUUCUCCAUGGCUUGAAGCUGCCUUCUUUCUGCACCCUGCUAUAAAGCAGGGAGGCAGCGCCGCUCCCCAGCUGCGUUCUUCACUGAAAAGAAGGGCACACCUUUGCAGCAUUUUUCCAUCUCUGCUGUUGAAGUCAUUCCAUCCUACUUCAUAAUCCGACUUCUGAGCUACACUGCACAUGCUACUAGUGACCAGCUGGGGAAUAGAGCACACAACGUAGAAGAAAUCUGUCCAGAACUGUAACUGCUUGUGAAAGACACAAACUUAAACACACUGCUUCAUGGUUUUUGCAAUUAUGGCUCUUAAAUGCUGAGAAGCAUAUCAGUUACACUAUUGUAUUGCCAAGAAUGUUAAUAACCCUAGACUCAUUUUAGGCACAAAAACUGCCUAACUGGUUUAUUCUUGUGCCUAGUAUUUCAUGGAGAAUACUGCGUCGGCAUCCAUCAACCCAGAAUGGCAUUGCUAUAUACGACACUGAGUAACUUGUGUAACAUACUGUCACUCGUCAUGCUUUAAAAUACACAAAGCAGUAUCUUUGGUUUUGUUCGCUAUUUAUUUGACAGUACUCUAGAUGUGAUAUCUUGUGGAAGCGUUUGGAGUUCGAGCCAAAGUGUACAGCAAAUACCAGGUUGACAUUGUAUUAAUUUACUUAUAUGAUAAAUUUAGCACUGAAAAGGGAUUAUUUUAGUAUUGUAACUCUUCUUUUUCUCUAGAUUUUUUUGACCUAUUCAUACAGAUUUGAGUUAUGCCAUGACUCCUGUUUUUCCCAAUCUUUGUAACAGAAGAGCUGAAUUAUUUUUGUGGUUUCAAAAUGCUGCGUUUGAAAUCCAUUAUUAGUUUCUGAUUGAGACUGCACUGACUUCUGGUGGGGUAUUUUUACACUAGAGAUGUGCUAACUUGAAUUCUAUACCCGGUUGUUAUCCCUCUCUUCCAGGAGGGCUAGAUUGGUUUUAGAGCUUUCCUUAUUUACCUGUCUUGUCAGAACUUGAGUCUUUACAGCUCUUCAGACCAUGCUACCAAACAUUACUCUCCACCGAUUCCCUUAAGAUGUGGCUCAAAACCCUCUCUGCCUUCCCUGUUGCUAUGCUGUGUACUUGUGCUGUUACCAUCUGAGAAGAAGUAGCUGUCUGAGUAAAUCCACAUCAGGGCAGUGGAGAUGGGGAAUGAUACGUGCUUGUGUGGCAUCAGUUCUUCAUGCCACCCAGGUGACUACUGGUGACCUCGUCACUCUUGGGGUUCGUAACCCAGGCCGUGAAAACCACUGGCUUGUGUCUCCCAAUCCAGUACAAGUUGCAGUAGCUGAUUCUGUAAAAUGAAGGCUCUUGGGAGGAAUAGCUGGGAGGCUGCCGUGUAACUUGACAUACUGUUUACAGGGUGGUUGAUAGCCCUGAUGGAGAGACAUCACUGAACCUCCAGAGUACUGUAAACAACAUCCCACUCGAAGGAUUUUGACUAUGGUGAAUGUUCUAGUAUUCAAGGUAGUACUUGGUUUUAUAAUACGGAUGAAGUAUACUUAAAGCUAUGGCUUAGUUUUGGAAUACUUUGUAUUCUGUUAUGUCUAUUUCUCUUAGUUUUGAUCUAAACUUGAGAUGUUGCAAAAGUUCAUAUAAUUAUAUGGACUUGUUUUAAUGACUUUCUGUCUACUGUACAUGUGAAGUUUGAAUAAAAGAAUGAAAGUUAUUUUACAGUUACUUGGAUUCUCAUGUGUGAGCUUUCCUGAAACUUAGGGUGUGUAGAAUGAAUGAAGGGCAGGCACACUUGUCACUGGGAAGCUGUGGUACUUCUGUGGGAUAUUGCAGUAGACAAGGAUCUGUAUGUGAGCUGUGCCAAAUGGGUGUAAUUGUGUGUUUUCUAGCAUCCCUAAUCGAUGCUUUACUAAGCUAUGUGUUGCCAGAUCUUGUGACAUUUCUGGUGGUGUUUUCCUUAAAGUCCAACUCUUGGGUGAAUAGCUUCAGGGAAGGGAGAUGUGAGAAUCUGUUUUCCUCUAGACCUCAUGGUUGCAGAGGAUGUAUUGGACAGUAAGGUUUCAAAUCAGAAGGCAAGCAGAACCUCAUGGCCAUGAGUUGAGGGAUAACAAAAGAGGCUGACUUGAUUUAUGAGGGUUUGGGGUCAGCAGAGAGCUUCUCAGAUCUGUUUUUGUUGCUUGAAAUGGUGGUUGUGCAAGACCCCAAUUGAAAGGUCUCUUCUACUUUAAUAAUAUAAUAAUAAAAAAAUACAGCUUGAUAAGUGUUGCUUUGGGUCGGAUCCUGAGAUGCUGAGGCUCCUGCUGGACGUGAGGCGAUAGAUUUGUUGCUUACAGAGGUUGUCACGUAUUCCAUGGGAUUAGGUCCUUUCCAAUUUCUCUUGACACAUGAGAGUUUCUAAUGUGUGUGUGUGUGUGUGCAUGUGUGGGGAUGACGACAAUGUGUGCUGGAUUUUUUUAUGCUGUGUGUGGUUUCUUCCUUUCAUUCGGCAGUUCUUUUUAGAUGCCUUUUACCUCAUGCACUGCCAUGGCCCAAGUAAGAGCCAGAUGUGUAUUCUUCCUAAAAUGUCACCAAGUGGUAGAGCUGGCUUGCUAGAUUUAGAGACUUGUCAUAGACAGAUCCGGGUGCCAGUACUUGUUUGACUUUGCAUAGUUCAUUUUUCAGUGUUGACUCUAUUAAGCAUUGUAAACCCAUUCUUUCCAAUACUGCGUGUGCCAUCUGUCAGUUGAGGACAAACAUAGCACACGCUGUGUAGUAGAGAUGGCAGUUUAAUACUUUUAGGUUCUGAACCUACGUAUAUUGAUUGUCCAGGGUCUCGUUUUCCUCUAAGGUCCUAUGGAGAAGCUGCUGUUUGUGUCCUUGGGGACUUAAAAUAACCCCAAAACAAAAACAUUAAAAAAAAAAAGAAGGGCCUCUCUCCCCUCUGUGGCAAGUCCACGGACCUUUGCAUGACGUGGACACGUGCUUUUGGGAAUGUCAUGUGCAUGCCCCAGCUUUUAACCGUGAGCAGCUGGUCUGGGGUGUACAAGUCCUGUGAUUUGGACUAAGACCUGUUGUGGAGCUCUUCCUGGUGGAGGUAGUAUUGUAGUUCAGCUAUACUAAUAUUAGUUUGAAGCAUGGGUUUUUGCUAGACUAUCAUCUUAAUGUCCAAAUCAUCUUAAUGUUGUUAUAGAAAAAAUUCUGUAUGGCAUUUUGUGGGUUGUGAGGCUUGCAGUCUGUUUUUUGUAGUUGCUUCAUCAUUUCACUCAUUUUGGGGACGACUUGAUGUCUUUUUUUAAAAUGUGUUUUUUAAAUUGUUUCAAUCUGGAGAGUGGGGUUAUCUGGCUUUAGCCAUGCUUCCCUUUUAUUUUUUUAAAAACUUACAGAGGUAAGUGUUUCUGAACUUCUACGUAUUACAGGAGGGAGUGUGGCUGGAAGGAAAGCUAUUGAAGACCUCUGCCCUCCUUUUAUAACUACUUUCCAAAACAGCCUUCCUUUUCUGGCGUGGAGAGAGAGAGAAAUCUUCCCGCAGGAAGAAAACAAGAUCCCCCGUGUGUUUUUUAACAUCGCGGUGUUUGGGCAGGAGCCCAGGUAAUACAGCAACAUGUGGUGUAAAAACAGACCCUGUCACCACCUCUUACUAAUUUGAAAAUUGAGUUCUGUUACUUGUCUGUAAUGAAGUUUUUGCAUGGAAAUAUUUUUCUAAACUUGAAGUCCUUUGUAAAAGAACAAAAACAAAACAACGUUGUCAGUCGCUUGGAAAUAGCUUCUGUAAAUUUUAUAUUGGACAGUGUCAUUUGCACAUAGUAUUAACAUGUUUCCUUAAAGAACUUUCUUUUGACUUGCGCGCCCUGCCCGUCGCCUUGCUCCGCGUGUGCUAGCGAUAAGCCAUCGACAUGUUUUUUCACAGCCCGAUCCCCUUGUGAAAGAGCUUGGUCUUUGUGCAAGUUUUCUUUCUCCAAUACUUUCCUUCUUUUAACCUGUUUCAUAGUAGGCGUUUUACAACACACUGAAUAAUUUCACAUAGUAAUCGCUUUCCCUCCUUUUGAAACCAGUCCUGAAAGUGUGAUGCAAAGCAAAUAAAAUUGUGCUGUUCCCUGCUCCUGUG